GCCCGUUUGGCUCAGUGGUAGAGCGUCGCUCUCGUAAAGCGAAGAUCAGUGGUUCGAUCCCGCUAAUGGGCA
rfam:Neocallimastix californiae strain G1 LY90scaffold_188, whole genome shotgun sequence.